rnacentral:rRNA from 1 species
GUGGAUUAGAUACCCUGGUAGUCCACGCCGUAAACGAUGAUCACUCGCUGUUGGCGAUACACUGUCAGCGGCUAAGCAAAAGCAUUAAGUGAUCCACCUGGGGAGUACGGCCGCAAGGCUGAAACUCAAAGGAAUUGACGGGGGCCCGCACAAGCGGAGGAACAUGUGGUUUAAUUCGAUGAUACGCGAGGAACCUUACCUGGGCUUAAAUGUAGAGUGCAUUGGUGUGAAAACAUCAUUUUCUUCGGAACUCUCUGCAAGGUGCUGCAUGGUUGUCGUCAGCU